rnacentral:ncRNA from 1 species
UUAAACACUAUGAAUUGGAAUAGUAGAUUUGCCUUUCAUUUAGAGAGAGUCGACGGUGCUGGGAGUCGAUAUGAAAGAAAAUCAAAUCCGCCUAGGAGUGGCUAGUGAGUUAAGCUAGAUCGGUGAUGCCGUUAUCAUCAUUAGAGUGGAUCAUCUUGGUCAAUUAGGGUGGUAUCGCGAGAAUUAAUCUCUCGUCCCUAGC